UAAUACGGGGGGAGCAAGCGUUGUUCGGAUUUACUGGGCGUAAAGGGCUCGUAGGCGGCCAACUAAGUCGGACGUGAAAUCCCCAGGCUCAACCUGGGAACUGCGUCCGAUACUGGAUGGCUUGAAUCCGGGAGAGGGAUGCAGAAUUCCAGGUGUAGCGGUGAAAUGCGUAGAUAUCUGGAGGAAUACCGGUGGCGAAGGCGGCAUCCUGGACCGGCAUUGACGCUGAGGAGCGAAAGCCAGGGGAGCAAACGG
rnacentral:rRNA from 1 species